rnacentral:rRNA from 1 species
AUGAAGUUAGGUCAGCAAACCCGCUGAAUUUAAGCAUAUAAGUAAGCGGAGGAUAAGAAACUAAAUAGGAUUCCCUCAGUAAUGGCGAAUGAACAGGGAAUAGCUCAGGAUGGAAAUCGGGGCCCCAGGCCUUGAAUUGUAAUCUGGAGAAGCACCACCAACUGGGGCGCAGAUGUAAGCCUCUUGGAAAAGAGCAUCGGAGAGGGUGAGAGUCCCGUCUGGCAUCUGCAGUCCCUAGUGUACGGUGUGCUUUCUAAGAGUCACGUUCCUCGGGAUUGGAGCGCAAAUCGGGUGGUAAAUUUCAUCUAAAGCUAAAUAUUGGUUCGAGACCGAUAGCAAACAAGUACCAUGAGGGAAAGGUGAAAAGGACUUUGAAAAGAGAGUUAAAAGUGCCUGAAAUUGCUGAAGGGGAAGCGAAUGGGACCAGUGAAACUUGG